rnacentral:lncRNA from 1 species
UGAAACGUCACUCGUUCCCCUUUCUCAUGUUCUUCUAUCUAUUCGUCCCACAACAGAUUCCAUUCGAUGAGUAUUAUCUUUUGUUUCCUCCAUUGAUUGCGCGGAUUAGCCAGGCGCCAGGAGUAGCUGCGCAAUAGAAUAGUCAACUUGGUGUUGCACUCAUCAUUGGUGGUGAAUCGGGUUUGGAUCUAUUGUCCUGUAUGGUGGAAGUAAGGCACGACAUCACGCCCUUUUCAUCCUAAACAGCGGCAGGCUGAUUGAAGGUGAUUCUUUGAUUUGCAUUCCCGUUCCUUUCCUCUGUUUCAUUUUCCCCUUUUUUGAUCCAAUAAAUAUUCUUACCUACUGUACUGUAUGUUGUAUGUUAUUAUUAGAUGUUAAUUUUAUUUUGCCCCUCCACGUUUUUCCGGGCUUGGGACCGGCAUCGGCAAUGUUAGGCUCCCUACCCCCCGCAUAUAUUUUAUUUUUGCAAAGUCAAAUUACAUUUUAGUUUUAAUAGAAAAAUUGGAAAAUAGUUUUGAUGCUACAUAUUUAGAAAGCUGUCAGGUUAAGUUUGCUCUAUUGGCUUGAUUAGUAUAGCAAAGUUAACAUACCAUAUUCUAUAAGUUGUCCAUGUUUUGUUUGCUUACUCCACUUUUAGGCACCCCACUCCAUAUAUACCUAAUAAAAAAUAGUAACAGCCAAAUAUUCAAAUAAUAGAAAUCAUAGUUUUUCCCAUAUAUAUCUAAUUUAGCUAGCACUAAAAUUAUGAAAGACGACUUUAACCGAUGUCUGUUCUUUUACACCUUUAUCUUACCUUUCAAAAGAUUUCUUUGUACACUAUAUUUUUGACCAUGUCAUCGUCGUGGUUUCUUCAUCAUCUACCAUUAUCGGUAGUCCAUCUCUUCAUGUGACUCUUGAGAUAGCCACAUACAGUUGUUUGUGCAUGAUGACUUGUUUCGGCAGAUAUAGUCCUACUUUGUUUAGAGAUUACCCUUGACUCUUGUUGAUUGUCAUUGCAAAGCAGACUGAUAUAGGAUAUUGCCUUCUUUUGCUGAUUCCGUUGGUGACAUUAUUAUUCUUGAAAUAUAUGCCUUGUCACCUACAUGUGUUCUUGUUAUAAUCUAUGCUUUGAUGAAUCUUCUUCCAAGUUGAGUUCUUGUCAUCCGUGUACCAUUGCAUAAGCCAGCACUUUGGUUAAAAUUACGUAGCAGCAUCACGGGUAGUCCUACUUUCACCCUAAGCUCGUAAUUAGGUAUUCUAGGAAAUGUUAGGUUGUUUAGGAACUUUGUUGGAUAUAGCAUAUGUGUAUCAUCACUUAGAGUAAUCGCUUUGCAUACAGUGUCGCAGCUUCGAUAUAUUGUUUCCUCGCCUUCUAUUUUGUCCAUUAUAGAUUCAUUGAUCACGCUGACUGUUUCAUUCCUUGGACAUAAAAUUGCUCUUUCUUCCAAGAAUUCCGUGUCAGGAUAUCUUUUUUUCAAGUUUGGGUAGAUGCUUUCGACGAUUGCUUCCAUCGGAUCAGUCUCCUUUUUCAGUAGUACGUGAGUUGAUAUUUUAAUCCACUCUUCUCCUUCUGCUGAUGUAGUUAUUCCAUCACCAAUAUUCAAGAUCCACUCUGCAAAUUGUGCUACUUGUCUUCUAUCUGUCUCAUUUUCUGUCACGCAAGUUAGUCGCAUGUUUUUUGUGAGCUUGAAGAUUUCAAAAUGUUCCCAAAGAUAGGAUCUUUUAAAGGAUGAAGUGACUAUGUUAUGUCUUCUUCCCUUUGGCAGAACUAGAAGAAUCUGGCGGAAGUCCCCUCCUAGAGCCGCUGUCAUACCACCGAAGGGUCUCUCAUUGCUUCUAUCAUUUCUAUUCCUUAGUAUAUCUCUUAGGGUUCUGUCUAGCGCCUCGAAACAUAUUUUGUUUUCCAUUGGAGCCUCACCGCACAAAAUUAGUGACGUUUUAUUUAUUAGUUCUGCCAAUGUGAACCUUGUUUGAUGUCACAUGUUGACUCUUCAGUGAGGAUUAAAGGGAUAUGAAACCUUGAGUGUGAUGUUCUCCCUCUUUGUAGUAGUAGUGCUGCAAUACCACUUCACGCAACUGGUAGUACUAUCUUUCCUUCUGAUCAUAAUUUUGUUGUGAUUGCCUUCCAUAGGUAUGUCUUCCCUGUACCGCCAUAUCCAUCUAGAAAAAAUUGUUUUCCCAGAUCCUUGUCAACUGAUUAUGUUAUGUAGUCAAAUGUGUUUCCUUGCUCGCUAUUCAGAUUACGAAAGAUACUUUGAUGUUCAUCUUUUAGCUCUUCUUUGUUGUAGUUCAUCUCUUCAUUGAGUAGCGUGUUUCCAAGUUCUUUUAGUCCUCAAGAUUUUGGCAGUUCGAUUCCAGGGUAUUCCUUGAGCGUCUUUCCAGCCUGUCUCAUAAGCUUUUCCAUUUCUAGCAAGGUGUGAUCUUUCUUCUGUCUAUCUGUUAGGCGCAGUGUAGGAUAGUUCAAGUUUUUUCUCUGUUUGUACUCCAUGUCUUCACUUAAAAAUUCCCAACAUGCUUCCCACAUCUUAUUUGGAUAUGUAACCUCGAAGUGACAUCAGAUGGUUGUGAAAAGUUGUCGCACUCAGUCCACUCUCUGUCGUCAUCAAGAAAUCCUAAUGAUUCACAGGCUUCCUUGUAUGAUUUAUGAACAACUCCAUUUACCGUUCUUAUGUCUUCAAAACAUAUGCAUCCUUUGAUGACAUUAAGUAGCAUUCUCAUGUAGUAUUUCUCACCACUUGCUGGAUGGGUAUAGUAAAUUCUUCCAACAGAUCUUCCUUUUUUCCGUUUUGUCCACAUAUUUGUUUUCCUAUUGCACACCCAUUUUGACGGGAACUCUGCAUAUGUUAACUUUCUAGCUUCUUCACAUUGCUUGUUUGUUUCCAUCCACUGUGUAAAUUUAGUUAUUCCUGCCCUUUCCUUCGUUACUAUCUUUGUUAAGUCUGUAGAAUCUCAGAAUAUUAUAUGUUGUCCAUUAUGUAGGUGGAAAGGGAGUCUUUCAACACACGGAUUCCGCAAGUGCAUUUCAAAUUGAAAUAUUCUCCAGCAGGUGAUACGUCUCCAACGUAUCU